AUUGAACGCUGGCGGCAUGCCUUACACAUGCAAGUCGAACGGUAACAGGUCUUCGGAUGCUGACGAGUGGCGAACGGGUGAGUAAUACAUCGGAACGUGCCCGAUCGUGGGGGAUAACGAAGCGAAAGCUUUGCUAAUACCGCAUACGAUCUACGGAUGAAAGCAGGGGACCGCAAGGCCUUGCGCGAACGGAGCGGCCGAUGGCAGAUUAGGUAGUUGGUGGGAUAAAAGCUUACCAAGCCGACGAUCUGUAGCUGGUCUGAGAGGACGACCAGCCAAAAUGGGACUGAGACACGGCCCAGAUGCGUACGGGAGGCAGCAGUGGAGAAUUUUGGACAAUGGGCGAAAGCCUGAUCCAGCCAUGCCGCGUGCAGGAUGAAGGCCUUCGGGUUGUAAACUGCUUUUGUACGGAACGAAAAGACUCUGGUUAAUACCUGGUGUCCAUGACGGUACCGUAAGAAUAAGCACCGGCUAACUACGUGCCAGCCGCCGCCGUAA
rnacentral:rRNA from 1 species